GAGGAGGAGUUAUCUACAUAGCUCAGUCAGUAGAGGCCUGCACACAGGCCUGACAAUCUAAUCUCCUAAGAGUUCUUUUCUGACUUUUGUAUCACACACACACAGCAGAAAAACUUAAAAAGAAAGGAAAAGCAAAACAAAGGACUUGAGUAGUUAUUUUUUUCCAAAGAGAGUAUAUAGUUGACCCAUCAACAUGUGAAAAAGCACUUGGCUUCACAGGGAACAAGGGAAAUGCAUAUCAAAAGCACAGGGAGCUACCACUUUGCAUCCAGUAGGAAGGCAAUAAAAAAAAAAAAUGGAACCGGAAAAUAACAAAUGAUAAAUAAGCACUGCUGCUGGGAAGGUAGCCUGGUAUAACUGCUGGGAGAAAUGGCUGCCUGGCUCCCCGAAGCAUUAAACACACAACGAUCCACCCACUCCCCUCCCAGGUAUAUAUAACCAAGAAUGAGAGGCAGGAACACCAGAGCUGACAGCCAGUUGCAAAUCAGUGUCCACAGCAGCAUUCACAAGACACAAAGGUGGAAAAACCCAACUGCCUAUCACUAGAAAAAUGAUAAAGAUGCUAUAUGUAUACCUGGCUGAAUGUCAUUGAGUCACAGAAGGAAAUAGAAUUUUGAUAUAUACUGCAACAUGGAUGGACCUGAAAUAAAAUGGAAACAGAGGUAAAAAUACUGCGUAAUUCCAUUCAGGCAAGGCACUGAGGUCAAUUGAGCUACAGACAGAGAGUAGAAUAGAUGCUACCAGAGGGUGGGAGAUGGGAAAGGGAGAGUUAUUAUUUAAUGGGCAUACAGUUCAGAAGAGGGAUGAUGAAAAAAAUUCAGAGCAUAGAUAAAUCUGCCUAUCAUGUGAUAGACACACAACCUUCAAUGUAGUUGAUUUUCCUGGAGCAAACUGUCACAAGCUGGUUGGAAUAUUACAUUGUACACUUUUAUAACAAAAAAAAACGUAUAAAAACUCAAACAGAAAUGUGUCAUUAGAAUUAUAUAUUACAAAUCCCACAGUUAUACAGCCGCUGCUUUAAUACAAACGUGUGUGGGUGUGAGUUUGUUUGUAUCCUCGAGCACAGGUACCCAUGGAGACCAGAAGAAGCAACAGAUCCUCUGGAGCUGGAGUUACAGGUGGUUAUGUGCACCAGAAACCAAACUCAGGACCUCUGAAAGAACAGCCAGAGCUCUUAACCACUGAGCCCUCUCCCCAGCCCUAUACCCUGCUUCUUCAAGUUACAUUUUGUCAUGGGCAUUUCUCCUUUCUCUUUUCUUUCCCUCUCUCUCUGUGUCUCUCUUUCUUUCUUUUCUCUCUCUUUCUUCAUUUUUCUUCUCUCUCUCUCUCUCUCUCUCUCUCUCUCUCUCUCUCUCUCUCUCUCUCUCUCUCUCUCUCUCAAGACAGGUUUUCUCUGUAUUGCUUUGGAGCCUGUCCUUGAAUCUCGAACUCACAGAGAUCUGCCUGCCUCUGCCUCCCGAGUGCUGGGAUUAAAGGCGUUGCACUACCAACCCCUGACUUUCUUUUCUCUUUCUUCUUUCUUGCUCUCUUCCUUCCUUCCUUCCUUCCUUCCUUCCUUCCUUUCUUUCUCUUUUCUUUUCUUUAUCUUUUCUCCUUUCUUUCCUUCUUCCUUCCUUCCUUCCUUCCUUCCUUCCUUCCUUCCUUCCUUUCUCGUCAGCUUCUACUUUAAAUGUUGCUUUGCAUUCCAUUCAGUGUCAAGGGCAAAUACAGUUAACCACUUGUCUGCUUUAGGGCAUGUCUGCCCACUCAACUUCAUUUUUUUAAAGUAAUACUGCAGAGGGUUUGUGUGUGCCUUUCCACAUUUUUGAACCCUUGCCAAAAUUUCCAGGGGGUAGAAUUACUGUGGAUGAGAACAAACAUUUUUAUAGUCUGCAAUCUCUGUCACCAUAUUAUUUUCCUUGAGCAUUGCAAGAAGCUGGCAACACACUGAGCUGCCUAUUUCACCAUGCUUUCCUGAGUCCUUGAGUAUCAGUUCAAACACUUCUUUCUAUUUAGCUUUGUAUUUUGUUGGUGAUUAGCAAGCUGGGGCGUGUUCCUGCGAAUCUGUCUACAAAUUGUAAUUUGUUUUAUGUAAAUUGCUUCAUCAUCUUUGUCCCCAUUUAUAAGUAAGCUUUUUGGUUCAUUAUUGUCAGUUAGCAUAAACUCCUGAUAUAAUAUUCCUAUCUGAAAACUUUUAAGGAAAGAGAUAGAAUACAAACGUGUGUGUGUGUGUGUGUGUGUGUAUACAUACACACAUAUGUUCUACUUUAAAUGUUCUAAAUAUUUUGCCCUUUUUCAUUCUUUGCUUGUUUUGUUUUGACAGGAUCUCAUGUAGCCCAGGUUGGACUCAAAUUCUAUAAGUAGCUGAGAAAGACCUUGACCUCUUCUGAUCCUUCUGCCUCCAUGUCCUGAGUGCUGAGAUAUUGAGAUAUAGAGAAUGCCAGGUGCGUCCUGUCUUCCCAGUCUCUACAUGGCGUCUCUCAGUGGUCUCUCUCCACCUACCUUUCCCAGAGUUCUCCUCAUCUCCUGCCUCUACUGGCCAAACAGCGUUUUAUUCAUCAACCAAUAAAAGAAACAUAUAUACAGAAGGAUGUCCCCCAUCACAGGGACUCUGGGCCAACCAAGACCCAGAGGUGGCAGCGGCAUCCGUGAAUCAUGAAGAGGGCCACAGCCAAUUGCUGUGAGCUGGAGAGGACAGGGGCAUGUCUGCAGGAUUAUCCUGCCCCGGGGCUGCUGAACUUCCACCCACUUGUCUACUUCAGCUGGGUUUUGUGCCUCUGCAAAGCCCUCUCACUCCUCCUCCAUGUAAUCACAGGGCUAUGUGUCCCCAUCGUAGAACUUGUCACCCUGCACUGUAACUCUGCUCAGCUCCCAUCUUCACCACUGUAGUACAAGUUCAGUGCAUACUGAUUUUCUCUAAUUCCCCCAGUUGUAGGGCUGGCUCUAGCUCAGGAGGCAAGUGGGGGUGGCACUCAGUCCAGUGGAAGACUCAGCCAGGUGUGGGGAGGCUGGGAAGUCAUUUAGGACAGGGAGCUUUUCUACAGAGAAAAGAGAAGAUGGGUAUCUUUCAGUUUCCUUUGCUUGUUUGUGUGUAUCGGUCACCCUCCCCAUGUGAAAGUCUGGGGCCACUUUCUGCUAGGUGAUCUUGAGAUCUUGCUAUGUGACAUGUGCAUGCCUCAAAAUCAGCACACCAUGCAAAACUACACACCGAAACCCACAGGGCGUACUAUUAUUAUACUCAACAAACUAAGAACAUAAAGAAAUUACAUCAAUGCAAUCAAAGCCAUUUACACAGCUAACAUCAUGGCCAAUGAUGGAAGAUGGAAGCCUUUCUCCUAAGAUCAGAGCAAGGCAAGGUUGCCUGGCCUGCUCUCACUUCAAUUCAAUUCAAUUACAAAACAUCGAGUAAUGCUGAUUUUAAAACCUUCAAGCGAUUUAAACACACACUUCUCCAAAGACAAUACACAAAUAGUCAACACACAUAUGAAAAGAUAAUUACCAUCCUUAAUCUUUAAAGAGAAAUGCACAGCAGACCAUAAAGAGACAUCAUCUUACACCCCUCCAGAUUCUACCAUUACAAAAAAAAAGAAAGAAAAAAGAAAAAAGAAAAGAAAAGAAAUAAAGAAAAGAAAAGAAAAGAAAAUAACCAGUGUGGCAAGGAAGGUGGGGAAUUGGAACUCUUGCUCGGUGGGAUUGAAAAACAGUGCAAUUGCUCUGGAAAACAGUUUGGCGGCUCCUUAAAAUAUUCAACAUACAAUUGCCAUAUAACCCACUAAUCCCACUACUGGGUAUAUACGCCGAAGAAUUCAAGUGGUGUCUGCAGGAGAUGUUUACAAGUUCGAAUUCAGUGCAGCAUAGCUCCCAGCAGCCAGGAGAUGGAAGCCACCCAAGUGUCUGUCAGUAGAAGAACAGAUAAGCAGAAUGCAAUGUAUACAAGUCUUUGAGCUGCUGUCAAGAAAUGACCAAUGCUUGGUAUUUACAAAGAACAGAAACUUAGGCUGGGUGUGGUGACACAUGGCAGUAAAGCCCGGCACUCUCGGGAGGUGGAGGUGAGAGGAUUACGGAUUUGAGGCUAGCCUGGGCUGCAUAGUAAGACCCACACCCACUCACACACCCUAACCAAAUCAAACCAAACAGCAACAAGAAAGCACUUCAGAAAUUAAUUUUUCUCUGUUCUGGAACCUGGGAGUCCAAAUAAUAAAGUCCCUGACAGAGUCAGUGUCUGCUGAGGGCUGUUCUCUGUUUCAGAAAUGGCUGCAUUGCUGUGUUGACGGGGUGGAAGGGGUCACCACUGUGUCCUUGUGUAAUGCAAAGGCAAAGGGAGGAAGUGUUCUCUUUCAGUCUCUUCAUAGGAGCACCAAUCUCCUACACAGUUCAGUCACCUUGGGCUAAAUUCUAAAAUAACAAUUUAGACAGACAUUCAAGUCAUAGCAGUACAGAAAGUAGUAUAUUAGCCUUAGAGGGGAAAAAGUCUGCCUUGCAGUGGUGGUGCACACCUUUAAUCCCAGCACUGGGGAGGCAGAGGCAGGCAGAUUUCUGUGAGUUUGGGGCCAGCCUGGUCUACAGAGCUACAUAGAGAAACACUGUCUUGAAAAAAAAAAUUCAAUGAAAAAAAUUGUGGAGUGGUUUUACAAGGUGAAUCAAUUUGAUACUCCUGAAUUACACACUGAAAAGUGGUUACUUUUAUGCUAUGUGAUUUUUUUAUCACAAUAAUAUUAAUUUUAAAGACUAUCACAGUGUUUAUGGCAAAAUGAGAUAAGAGCACAUUAAAAACAGUUCCUUGGUAACACGCAGAUAAAAAGAGAUCAGACCAUAAUAAAAAGGUAGUUUGUAAUACAUAUUAAGUGAUGGGAAUGCAUAAACACUACAAUAAAUAUUUUUUUUUCUUGAAAAGGCUCUGGAGUUGGUCUGUAGGGCAGGAGGGCUGUGCAAAGUCGGGAAAGGGCAUCUGCCAUCUAACAGAGUAGACUCCGCUGUGACUGGACAGGUCUUGUAGCCAUUGGAGAAGUCACCAGUGGAUUACUCUGUGGCUGGGUGAUGAUCUGUGUCUGGAAAUGCCCUUGAAGACUUACCCAGAGGGAUGCUUUAUUCAGAGACUAAAAAUCACUCAGCUCAGUUGAGUCAACUGUCACUACACACGGUCAGGGCUCCCACAAACUCCUUCAAAAGCCUGACAGUCUUCCAGCUCUGCGGGGCCAUCUGUUCGAAAUUCUUCAGUGUUUUAAAAGCAGCCUCAAGUUAGCGGUGAAUGAACCAGUGCUGUGUGUCCCAAUGAAUCUUUAUUCAUAAAAACUGCCCUUCAGAACUGGGUGUUAGUGGCACACACCUUUAGUCCCAGCACUCAGGAGGCAGAGGCAGGUGGAUCUCUCUGAGUUCAAGGCCAGCCUGGUCUACAGAGGGAAUUCCAGGACAACCUCCAAAGCAAUACAGAGAAGCCCUGUCUCAAAAAAACAAAAACAAAAACAACAGCAACAACAAAAAGAAAAAAACAACCAAACAAACAAAAAACAAAAACCAACCAAACAAACAAAAACUAAACAAAACUAAACAAAAAAAAACCUGCCCAUCAGCCAACAGGUUGUAAUUUGUCGAUCACUGGCCACUGGCCGAUCGUUUCUCAUAUGGAAAGUCACAUGAGAGCUAAGUAAGAUUUACUUCAUACUCAGAUUAUUCCUUCAUGUAUGGAUGGGUGGGAACAGAGUCACAUUUUCAGCACAAGUUGUCAGAGCAGAGCUGAAUGAAGCCCAUUGGCUGUUAUGGGGCUGGGGAAGUGAAUUAUAGCACGAGGUCCCGAGAUAUUGGUACUUCCACAGAAAUAGACAUUAGAAGUCACUGGCUGUUUCACGUUGCUAUUGGGAACACUUUAAUUUUGCUAAGUACUUAGGAUGCGGUUUGAAAUGAUGCGUGACUUCGUCCUUCUAGAGCAACUUGAGGUUUGCAACAUAAUUGGGAGGAAGCUUCAGAGGUGUCCCCAGCCCUUUGCUGUGACAAGCCCACACUGGCCCAUCACAGUUGCUCAAAGUCCAUGCCCACUUCAUGGCCCACUCUUCAUGUAGGGUGUCCUAUUGUUUUGGACAAAAUAUAGUGGCAGAUGUCAAUCAUUAUUAUAAUAUCACACAGAAUAGUUUUACUGCCCUAAAAAUACUGUGUGCUCUUCACUGACUCCUGGCAGCCACCCAUCUUCCUACCAUCUCCAUGGUCUUGCUUUUUUCAUACCAUACUCUUGCAAUCAUGUGGCAUAUAGCAUUUUAAGAUGACUUCUGUCACUUAAAACUCAACACUUUCUGAAUAAAAGCAUUUUAUAUAAUUUUAUUAAUUUUAUAUAAUUAAUAAAAGUCAUUAUUGCCAAAUAUAAAAAUUGCAUUAAAAGGGGGGGUGCUGGUGAGAAGGCUCAGUGAGUAAAGGCGAUUGCUGUGCAAACCUGGCAACCUGAGUUCAAUCCCUGGAACUGACAUAAUGAUGGAAAGAGAGAAUUGACUUCACAAGGUUGUGUUUCCUGACAGCUACAUUGUGCAUACCCUCUCCAACAAACAGCGUGUGCACACACACACACACACACACACACACACACACACACACACCAAUAAUACAACUUUAAAAAUGGGAUAAAGUACACAAAUUAUAUAAAAUGUACUGUUUCAAUUGAAGCACAUAGCCUGGCACGAGCAUUUGGUACAUUUGUAGCUCUAUGCUAACUUCAUGACUGUCUAGUUUGAAAAUGUUUUCAUCACCUCGAGAGGAAGCUCAUUCCUUUAGGCCAUCAAUUCCUAUCCCAUCCUCUUGCGGAAUCUGGAAGAUCCUUAGAACACACACACACACACACACACACACACACACACACACACACACACACACACUAUACACAUGCAUACACGCAUACACACACACACCACACACAAACACCACCCAUACACACACCACACACAUACCAUACACACACACAUACACCACACACACACCACACACACACCAUACACACACAUACAAACAUUUACACAGAUACAUACACACACACCACACACACACAAAUAAAUACAUACACACAUCACACACAUACCACACACAUAAACACCACACAUUCACACACCAUGCACACACACACCACACACACAAAUGUACAUGCACACACACACCACACACACAAAUGUACAUGCACACAUGCUUGCUCAUGUCUGAGGUGGAGCUGUGCUUACAGUCAAGAGUAUACUAUAUGUGCUGUUUGAGUAAGCACACUCUUGAUCAUAUUCUUAAGUGAGUUUUGUGCAGGCAGGCUUGGGUGUUACAUUGGUCUGAUAACGGCCAUCUAUCUAAAGUGCUUGCAGAAUGCCAUGCUUCAGCAGAGAGAUGAAUUGUGGAGCCUGAAGAAUGAUGGGCAGAGUAGAAAGGCAUACAUUUGUUAUUAAUGAGACGAAUUAUUCAUCAUUGGAGGAGCAACUGCAGCCGACAUCUUCCAAAGCAACAAGCAAGUGCCCUGUGGGACAGGAGAGGAAGACACAAAUAGACGAAGCUGUGUCAGGCUUGGUUCCUGAGACGUAUUUAAAAAGAUGGCCUGUCACAUUGCAAGCAAGGCAACCAAAG
rnacentral:lncRNA from 1 species